UAGAGUUUGAUCCUGGCUCAGGAUGAACGCUAGCGACAGGCUUAACACAUGCAAGUCGAGGGGCAGCGGUGGUGAAGGCUUGCCUUCACCAGCCGGCGACCGGCGCACGGGUGAGUAACACGUAUGCAACCUGCCUGCCACAGCCGGAUAAUCGGGAGAAAUUCCGUCUAAUACGGCAUAAUGCAUCGACGGGACAUCCUGUUGGUGCCAAAGGUUAAUUCCGGUGGCGGAUGGGCAUGCGUCGCAUUAGUUAGUUGGCGGUGUAACGGACCACCAAGACGACGAUGCGUAGGGGUUCUGAGAGGAAGGUCCCCCACACUGGUACUGAGACACGGACCAGACUCCUACGGGAGGCAGCAGUGAGGAAUAUUGGUCAAUGGGCGGGAGCCUGAACCAGCCAAGUCGCGUGAGGGAUGACGGCCCUAUGGGUUGUAAACCUCUUUUGCCGGGGAGCAAAGUGCCGCACGUGUGCGGUUUGGAGAGUACCCGGAGAAAAAGCAUCGGCUAACUCCGUGCCAGCAGCCGCGGUAAUACGGAGGAUGCGAGCGUUAUCCGGAUUUAUUGGGUUUAAAGGGUGCGUAGGCGGACGCUUAAGUCAGCGGUAAAAUUGCGGGGCUCAACCUCGUCGAGCCGUUGAAACUGGGUGCCUUGAGUGGGCGAGAAGUACGCGGAAUGCGUGGUGUAGCGGUGAAAUGCAUAGAUAUCACGCAGAACUCCGAUUGCGAAGGCAGCGUACCGGCGCCCAACUGACGCUGAAGCACGAAGGCGUGGGUAUCGAACAGGAUUAGAUACCCUGGUAGUCCACGCAGUAAACGAUGAAUGCUAGUUGUCCGGGGCGAUUGAGUUCUGGGUGACACAGCGAAAGCGUUAAGCAUUCCACCUGG
rnacentral:rRNA from 1 species